AUUGAACGCUGGCGGCAGGCCUAACACAUGCAAGUCGAGCGGAUGAAGGGAGCUUGCUCCUGGAUUCAGCGGCGGACGGGUGAGUAAUGCCUAGGAAUCUGCCUGGUAGUGGGGGAUUACGUCCGGAAACGGGCGCUAAUACCGCAUACGUCCUGAGGGAGAAAGUGGGGGAUCUUCGGACCUCACGCUAUCAGAUGAGCCUAGGUCGGAUUAGCUAGUUGGUGGGGUAAAGGCCUACCAAGGCGACGAUCCGUAACUGGUCUGAGAGGAUGAUCAGUCACACUGGAACUGAGACACGGUCCAGACUCCUAAGGGAGGCAGCAGUGGGGAAUAUUGGACAAUGGGCGAAAGCCUGAUCCAGCCAUGCCGCGUGUGUGAAGAAGGUCUUCGGAUUGUAAAGCACUUUAAGUUGGGAGGAAGGGCAGUAAGUUAAUACCUUGCUGUUUUGACGUUACCAACAGAAUAAGCACCGGCUAACUUCGUG
rnacentral:rRNA from 1 species